AGGGGGGGGGGAAACGGGGGGUGUUGGUUUAUUUAUGGCGCUUUGUUCUGCGGCGCUGCUGUUGGGGAUGCGGUGGUGCAGGGAGAGACUUCAGCUUGGAGGGGAGGGUUUGGGGGUGGGGAUGUCCGAAAUGCUGGGGGUGAGCGGCUCCUGGGGGGGGUUCCACGUGGGAUAACAGCAAAAGCAAAGGGCCGGGCCGGGCUGGGCCAGCAGUGAGGCCAAAACGCACCGCUGUGCGCCCGAAAUCCGCUGCUGGGUGUGCAAAGUGUUGGCGGUGCGUCUUUGCAGAGGGGCAGCUCCCGCCACGGCCGUCCAAUUCCGCCUCUUUGGCAGUGGAUUCCCCGGGGUGCACUGCAUCUGUGCGCAGCCACGCCGUGUGUGCGUUGCACAGAGACACCGGCCCUUGGCGUGCUGCUGUGUGUGCAAGGGCGGGGCGGUGACGUGCAAUGGUCUGCAAGGACGUGCAAAGGUGUGCAAGGGUGUGUGAUUUGCAAGGAGGUGCAAAGGUGUGCAAGGAUGUGUGAGGGCAGACAACGGUGUGCAGUGGUGUGCAGUGGUGUGCAGGGGUGAGUAGGGGUUUGCAAGGAUGUGCAAAGGUGUGCAAGGAUGUGCAAAGGUGUGCAAGGGUGUGUGAUUUGCAAGGAUGUGCAAAGGUGUGCAAGGAUGUGUGAGGGCAGACAACGGUGUGCAAUGGUGUCCAAAGGAGAGUAGGGGUUUGCAAGGAUGUGCAAAGGUGUGCAAGGAUGGGUGAGGGCAGACAGCAGUGUGCAAUGGUGUGCAAAGGUGAGUAAGGAUAUAGGAUGCAGGAUAUGGGAUGCAGGAUAUGGAAUUCAGGAUAUGGGAUGCAGGAUAUGGGAUGCGGGGAUAUGGGAUGCGGGAUAUGGGAUGCAGGAUAUGGGAUGCGGGAUAUGGGAUGCAGGAUGCAGGAUAUGGGAUGCGGGAUAUGGGAUGCCGGAUAUGGGAUGCCGGAUAUGGAUGCGGGGAUAUGGGAUGCAGGAUGCAGGAUAUGGGAUGUGGGAUAUGGGAUGCCGGAUAUGGAAUUCAGAAUAUGGGAUGCAGAAUAUGGGAUGCGUGAUAUAGGAUGUGGGAUAUGGGAUGCAGGAUAUGGGAUGCAGGAUAUGGGAUGCCGGAUAUGGGAUGCAGGAUAUGGGAUGUUGGAUAUGGGAUGCAGGAUAUGGGAUAUGGGAUGCGUGAUAUAGGAUGUGGGAUAUGGGAUGCUGGAUAUGGGAUGCCGGAUAUGGGAUUCGCGAUAUGGGAUGCGGGAUAUGGGAUGCGGGAUAUGGGAUGCGGGAUAUGGAAUUCAGGAUAUGGGAUGCCGGAUAUGGGAUGUGGGAUAUGGGAUGCGGGAUAUGGGAUGCAGGAUAUGGGAUACAGGAUAUGGGAUGCAGGAUAUGGAAUUCAGGAUAUGGGAUGCGGGAUAUGGGAUGUGGGAUAUGGGAUGCAGGAUAUGGGAUGAGGGAUAUGGGAUGCAGGAUAUGGGAUGCCAGAUAUGAAAUGCAGGAUUAUGGGAUAUGGGAUGCGUGAUAUAGGAUGUGGGAUAUGGGAUGCGGGAUAUGGGAUGCGGGAUAUGGGAUGCAGGAUAUGGGAUGUGGGAUAUGGGAUGCAGGAUAUGGGAUGAGGGAUAUGGGAUGCGGGAUAUGGGAUGCAGGAUAUGGGAUGCCGGAUAUGAAAUGCAGGAUAUGGGAUAUGGGAUGCGUGAUAUAGGAUGUGGGAUAUGGGAUGCGGGAUAUGGGAUGCGGGAUGCAGCCGCGGGCUGCGGGCUCGGGGAGGCGAUGCUGCGGGGCCGCAUUGUGCGGGGCUGCAGCGGGCGGCCGCAUACAAACAGGGAGAUGAAAAGGGCGAGAGGCCCCACGGGCGCGGGCUGUCGGGGUGAUGGAUGGGGGUGAGAUCGGGGUGAGGCCCCUCCUUCCGAGAGCCUCGAGAUGGCAAAACGAUGCGAGGAACGACAGAGCGGCGUUCGGCGAGAGAACGGCCCGGAAAGAGCCCGGAAAGGAGGAAAGGCGUUUUAUUGCAGCCGACCCGAAAGCUCCGCUCCUCCUCGGCGCGGCGGCUGCUUUUGUUUGGGGUCGGAGCUGUGUUGGUUUUCUUUCCCCCUUUUCGGGCUGUUUGAAUGCGAAUAAAGGAGCGCGGUGAGGACGCGUCAAUGGCAGAGAGAAGUGCCGUCUGUUUACACGGCUGUCGGCUUCGGAAUGAAUAACCCGCAGGAAUGGGGG
ensembl:lncRNA